rnacentral:lncRNA from 1 species
CAUGCCACUACUGUCAAUAUAUCUACUAACUAAUUGGAUUUUUAGCUAGACUGUAGACUGUAGAGUAGCUAAUCAAAAUUUUAUGCUAAAAUGUGAUGGGCAAUAAGAGAAUCUUUUAAGGUUCCUCAUGUACCAUGUGAUGUAAUUAAUGGAAGUCAAGUAGAUAUAGCUGAGAGUCCUGUUAGUGACAUAUAUGUUGGAUCUUUAUUAGCGUAGCUUCUGCACUCAAUCUUUAACCUCUUAAAUGGUUUAAUCUUAUAUUUGUGUCUCACUUUAUUGGGUUUGGAUUUAAGGUGGUUUGUUUUUGGGUCUAUUGACACUGUAGAAACCACGGUUUGGAAAUAUAUGUUUUUUUACGGAGAGCAGUUGCUGAAUUUGAGGCUAACUGUUUCUUGAAAUUCUAAGUAUCUGACAAGUAUACACUUGGAAUGAGGAGAAAAGAGAAGGAAAUAGAAUGAAUAUUGGAUUAUCAAUUCAAGAAGUCAGUCAGUGAAAAAUGGAGGAGAAAAUAAUGGGGGUGGGAACCAAAAGGAAAAAAAUGAAUGAAAGAUUAAAACUUCCCUGCACUAUCUAAUAUUAUCAGUUUAACUUUUCCCUCUCCUAGAAACAGUAGAACUUGGAUAUUGGUUAUAUUUUGUGCUUGGAUUGAGAAAUUAAUCAAAAUUAUAUUUGAAGCCCAAAUCAACGUGAUAAUUGGCAUUUGAUGAUGAAUUGGUGUUGUCAUACAGCGGCUAUCGUGGUGCUUUAGUGCCAUAACGUGGCGGAAUUUUGACAAACCGCUAUUGCUCCCCAGCGAUACGCGAUUAAGUCCAAAAUGAUGUCAACUUGCAACUGUAUAGGUACUAUAACUCUGUAGUGUAGCGGAAUUUGAACAAUCCACUAUUUUCCACCAUCUACAAUUGACAACACUGGUCAAUCUGGCAGGCUGGAAGUGAUCAUGACAACUACUAACAAUGAGCUAUCUUGGAAACUGCAACCUCUGCUUGUGUAGUCUUAUUUUUGCUGCCUUUUGAAAAAUUAAUCAAGCAUUAAAUUAUAUCAACCAUCUCUUCCCUUUCUAUGAUAUCAUUAUAGACUUUUUGAUUGUAUGAUUGUAGAUGUACUACAACAAGGUUGGACCGUGGACAAUGCCUCUCGGAUGCUUACUGUGAAGAAGCAACCUGUUGCGUCAGUGCAGAAANGGAAUUUGAACAAUCCACUAUUUUCCACCAUCUACAAUUGACAACACUGGUCAAUCUGGCUGGCUGGAAGUGAACAUGACAAUUACUUAAAAUGAGCUAUCUUGGAAAGGCAGCUCUGCUUGUGUAGUCUUAUUUUUGCUGCCUUUUGAAAAAUUAAUCACGCAUUAAAUUAUAUCAACCAUCUCUUCCCUUCCUAUGAUAUCAUUAUAGACUUUUUGAAUGUAUGAUUGUAGAUGUACUACAACAAGGUUGGACCGUGGACAAUGCCUCUCGGAUGCUUACUGUGAAGAAGCAACCUGUUGCGUCAGUGCAGAAACUUGAUCCUCGCAAAUUGCAACAGCUGACAGAAUAUGUCUUCCAUCUUGAGCAUUGAAGAUUUUAAUCUUCUGAAGGAAUUAGAUGAAUGUUUUUCUAAAACUCUUCAAUCACGUGAUCCACCUUUCGAAGGUGUAUGAAAGUGCAUAUAUUCUAUUGAUAGUUUUGGAAACAAGGCAUAAUCUUUCCUGUGUUUUAACUUGAGCUCUGAUUAGAUGAAUUUUGCAUGGCACUUCUGGUAGUUAUUGAACAUGCCGUUCUCUUGUAUGAUAGCGAAAAGUAAAGAAUUUUUCCGAUUAAACCUGCUUUUGAGAAAUCCAGUUACUCUGUAUAUUCUUUAGUAUGUGAAUAUUUUUUCAUGGUAUUAUUAUGUUAUUUGCAGGGCUGAUAGUUUAUACAUAUUUUCA